rnacentral:rRNA from 1 species
AUUGAACGCUGGCGGCAUGCCUUACACAUGCAAGUCGAACGGUAACAGGUCUUCGGAUGCUGACGAGUGGCGAACGGGUGAGUAAUACAUCGGAACGUGCCUAGUAGUGGGGGAUAACUACUCGAAAGAGUGGCUAAUACCGCAUGAGAUCCACGGAUGAAAGCAGGGGAUCGCAAGACCUGGUGCUACUAGAGCGGCCGGUGGCAGAUUAGGCAGUUGGUGGGAUAAAAGCUUACCAAGCCGACGAUCUGUAGCUGGUCUGAGAGGACGAUCAGCCACACUGGGACUGAGACACGGCCCAGACUCCUACGGGAGGCAGCAGUGGGGGAUUUUGGACAAUGGGCGCAAGCCUGAUCCAGCAAUGCCGCGUGCAGGAUGAAGGCCUUCGGGUUGUAAACUGCUUUUGUACGGAACGAAAAGCCCUGGGUUAAUACCCUGGGGUCAUGACGGUACCGUAAGAAUAAGCACCGGCUAACUACGUGCCAGCCGCCGCGGUAAUAC